UGAGCAUGCCUUUUAGGCAUCCUCUCCCAAAACUUUCACGGGCCACCUUCGGGUGGCCCUUUUUUUUGCCCGAA
rfam:Sphingopyxis sp. HIX HIX_contig000025, whole genome shotgun sequence.